CUGGUGGCUCAGUUGGUUAGAGCGCCGCCCUGUCACGGCGGAGGUCAUGGGUUCGAACCCCAUCCG
rnacentral:tRNA from 1 species